UGAAGACCUCAGUCCAGUCAACAAUGAAGAGUCCAGUUUAGAAGACAGCACUGUUACUCUGUCCUACAAAUACUCCAAACAAGCAACUGGUAGUGAUGAGUUUUACUGGUAUCGACAAUAUCCAGGAAAACCACCAGAGUUCCUCAUCUUUCACGUGGGAACACAACGUGCAAAAAACUCCAGACUGACUGUGAAAGUGAGUGAGGAUCAAACCCAAAUGGAUCUGCAGAUCUCCUCUGCUGCAGUGACUGACUCUGCUCUGUACUACUGUGCUGUGAGGCCCACAGUGACAGCAAACCCACAGUCUCUGUACAAAAACACAAGCUGACACACUGACGAGCUGCUGGAAGCCUUUUUUCCACACUGUUCCACUCAACUUUUUACCUCCACUAGAGGGCCACAUUAUCAAGCAGGCGCUGCACAACUUCUGCACUGUGUUCAACCAUCUGUCAAUAAUAACUGCUGCUGUGAAGACAACCAUUCUCACUCUGAAUGCUGAACAUCAGCUACUUUCUCCUCUUCAUUUCAGCCUCAUUGUACACAUGGAACAUUGGCUGUGGAUUAUUCUUGCUGCUCUUUGCUUUGAGUGUAAAGGAGAAGACAGAGUGAUCCAGCCAACAGCAGAUGUCAUUGCGACUGAAGGAGGCACAGUUUCACUGGACUGUACAUUUGAGACCAGUGACCCAGGUCCAACUUUGUUCUGGUACAAACAGGAUGGAAACAACAGCCCCAAAUUCAUACUGAGUCGCGUUAAACGGGAUCAAGGGAACACACCAGACGAGUCCAAGGAGAGAUUUUCUUCCACAGUGAAUUCCUCCUUAAAAUCAGUUCCUCUGAAGAUCCAGAAGCUUCAGCUGUCUGACUCUGCUGUGUACUACUGUGCUCUGCAGCCCACAGUGACAGGAAACAGCAAAACUCUGCACAAAAACCUCUGCAGCAAACACAACACAAUACUCCACAACGUCCACUAG